UACGAAGGGGGCUAGCGUUGCUCGGAAUCACUGGGCGUAAAGGGUGCGUAGGCGGGUCUUUUAAGUCAGGGGUGAAAUCCUGGAGCUCAACUCCAGAACUGCCUUUGAUACUGAAGAUCUUGAGUUCGGGAGAGGUGAGUGGAACUGCGAGUGUAGAGGUGAAAUUCGUAGAUAUUCGCAAGAACACCAGUGGCGAAGGCGGCUCACUGGCCCGAUACUGACGCUGAGGCACGAAAGCGUGGGGAGCAACAGGG
rnacentral:rRNA from 1 species